rnacentral:misc_RNA from 1 species
GAUGAAUAACGCAGCGAAAUGCGAUAAGUAAUGUGAAUUGCAGAAUUCAGUGAAUCAUCGAAUCUUUGAACGCACAUUGCGCCCCCUGGUAUUCCGGGGGGCAUGCCUGUCCGAGCGUCAUUGCUGCCCUCAAGCACGGCUUGUGUGUUGGGCCUCCGUCCUCCUCCCGGGGGACGGGCCCGAAAGGCAGCGGCGGCACCGCGUCCGGUCCUCGAGCGUAUGGGGCUUCGUCACCCGCUCUUGUAGGCCCGGCCGGCGCUUGCCGACACAUCAAUCUUUUUUCCAGGUUGACCUCGGAUCAGGUAGGGAUACCCGCUGAACUUAAGCAUAUCAAUAAGCGGAGGA